GGAAUUUCCCCGACUCUUCGGCAGAGGCGAGCGAUGGUUUUCACAUCUUUCCCAGUUGCUGAUUCCUUCUUCAACGAUUGUUUUUGGCUGACGACAGUUCCUCUCCUGACGACUUGCGUCUGUCUUUCUUGGUCCAACUCCUUUUCUUUUGUCCCCCGCACAAAAUCUCCCACGACCAUUUUUAUACUGUCUUUCUUGUCUCUGACCUUUCACCUCUCGACAAGGAGACGAUUGCCAGAUAGUUUGGUCAUUUGUUUCUAACGCAAUGCCUGUGUUUGUAUUCUAACAUGAUUUAAUUCAUUCGGGACACAUGUUCACAGGCCCGGUUUCAUAUGACCACGUGUCACAAUGCGAUCUCUCUUUCUCUCUCCGCAUUUCCUUUCCGUUCUCCCCUUUAAAAAUAAAGAGGGAAAAUAAUAACAAC
rnacentral:lncRNA from 1 species